rnacentral:lncRNA from 1 species
CCCAUUUCUCCGUAACACAGUAAAUGUUCUUUUGGCUCAUCGCAAAUUCAAGGAAACGCUAUUCGCUUGCACCCGAGAGACUUGAUAGCAGAAACAAACAAGCCAGCUUUGAAAGAUGAUGUGACAGCCCUCCCUAGAAACUCUCAAAUACAUGCAAGGCCACAGAUCAAUUCCUCAGUGUGCCCCCAUUCUGUACGCCCCCUGGCCCCCUGGCAAUGGCUGAAUCCUGAAAACCGAAAAGGACAAGCCAAUAUUUUUAACACCCUAGAACCACUGGUAGCCCUUUAAGCUUGGGAACAGGUUAGGACUAUGCUACAUUUAUCAUUUAGGAUGCUUGCACCCUGAUCUUGCAGCCAAAAAGGCUCUAAGAAUGGCUUCUGGACCAACAGUCAGUUAAAACAAGGAGAGCCUGCAGGUUUGCUAUUGAAAAGACACAACAUAAAAGGGAAAAGGGACAGAAAAAAGGGGGGGCAAGCACAGGAACUAAAUCUUAAUUUUUUUAUGAUCAACUGGAUUGGGAACUGUUUGAGGGUAGAGACUGCCCUAUGGAUCUAGUCUUUCAGCAGAGCUAGAGCUGAUAAAAUUUACCUCUCUCUGUUUUGCCUCAGAUAUGACUUAAGCCAUAUCUGAGCUGGAAAUUAAAAUCCACUAUGAUUGUUUCCCUCCCCAAAAAAGACCCUGGGAUGUGUAGUUUUGGGAGAGUGAAGACUGUUUUCUAACUUGGACUCCUAAGCGCCACUUCAAACUAGAAUUCCUAGCGAUCCUUGGGCAAGAAAGACUUUCCAGCGAAACAGCCUGACAUUGAUGAUGAUGAUGAUGAUGAUGAUGCCAUGGACAUGAUGGAAGGAAAAGUGAGUCAAGAGUGUUAAGGGGAAUCAGUUCUUCAACUGAUGCAAGGCAGAUCUGGGAGAUGUCUGACUGAUCUGAUGGUUAUUGGACCAGCCAGCUGUGUCAAGAAAUUGUGGUAAGUUAAAACGCCUUCAGGUCUCAGCUGAGAAAUCACCCACAUGCAUAUGCAAACACACAGUCUUAAGACAUUGCCUUCUGAACUCCCAGCCCUGCCCGGUAUUUAUUUGUUAAAUGAAUAUCCUGCCCUUUUCCUUCCAAAGGAACACAGGACAUCCAACAAGAGAUAAAAGAAUAGCGGACAUGUUAAACGUCCUAAAAUGAUUCCAGCACAGAUGCGGAUUGGGAAAGAUCUCAGCUUUAAAGGCUUAGAAGGUCUUCAGCGGGUGCCGAAAAUACAACAGAGAUGGAGCCCAUCUGAUAUACAGUGGGAGGGAGUUCCAAAGGACAGGUGCCAACCCGCUAAAGGCCCGUUUCCUACAUUGUGUGGAAUGGACUGCCUGAUAAGAUGGUAUCUGCAGGAGGCCCUAAGUUGAGUGAUAAACUGGUCUAUAAGAUGUAAGGUAGCCUGGUCCCAAGCUGUAUAGAGCUCUUUACACCAGGACUAGCACCUUGAACCUAGGCCUGCCUGUAGCUAACUGGCAGCCCAAGCAAUUCUUUCAGCCCCAGCAAGCAGUCAGUGACAACAGACGAUGACUCCAUUCCUGUUUCUGACAGUCUUCCAGAUUCAUCAUUGAGACUUCAUCUUUCAGGAUGAAUGACUUGUCCUCCUUUUCGGAUGUUUACAGGGGAACUGACAUUUGCAACUCAGCUGUUCUGCGCAAAGUUUUGCCACAGUUGGUCCACUGUAGAGGACAAAGUACUCAGAUAACCCUUUUUUGAGACGCUGUGACC